CUGAUCAAGGCUCAAUGUUUAAUUCUAAGGUCUGAAAUUUAAAUGGGGGGGGGCAUCCCCCACUUUGCCAGGAUCUUGUCUAUUUGUCAGGAACUCCUCGGGAAGACAAGCUUAGCUACUCAGCAGGUAGUGGCUUCUUGCUGGAAGCUGCAGAUGUUUCAGAACAAUAGACUUCACUUAGGUCAGAAGACUCCAUCCUAGAUUUGACUCUAAUGUUCCUGCUCCUAACAACGCCACUCCACUCUGAGAUAAUCAACAGGUUUCUCAGGGACAGAAGGCAGAGCUUAGCACUUAGUCUUACUCAUCCUACAACUCCAUUUUACGCACAAGUCUACUUAGUGUUUCUCAGGUCAGGACAUAUGAUAUUAUGCAAUGAUCCAGUUGAAUAACUUAGGAUGAAACAGCAAUACUACUUAGAAAUAAGCAACACAUACAGGUUUCAUUAAUUAACAUAAGUUGUAAAAAGAAAAAUCUCCCUUCGUCCGUUUUGUUUUAGACUAGAACAGGAUUUAAUCUCCAGUUUAGACUAAAAAUAAAGAGCUGAUGUUUACAUUUGCAAAACACUUACCAAGAGCGUUAGUGGUAGAUCAGACAGUGCUGGUGACAGCCACUGUCUUUGUUGCCUGCUUAGGGCAGGUGCUCGGUACCUGGUUAGAUGUGCCCUUCAGAGAAGGCUAGACCAAGGGAGACACUUCUUCAACAGGAAAGUGUUUUAAGGAGAUUCUGCUAUGUUCAAGGGAAGGAAUUAAUAAACACUUUCAAACUAAAAGUCAAAACCAGCAGGAAGGAACCUAAAUAAUUGUGUUGCUAAUUUUAUUAGGAACUCAUAUCCCACCGGACGCCAUUAAGUUGAAAUCAUUUGAAAAUAUCAUCAACUGUGUGGCUUUCUUAGCUACUAAUAAUAGAAUGCAUUUCAUAACUGGUCUUAUUCCUGGCACUCAAUUCCAUUUUAGAGGAUAAAAGGUUUUGAAAUAAUAAUUUUUUUAAAGGACAAAAAGUCUUUGUUAAUGUUAUGCCAAAAUAAAGUGGUGUAUAUAUAUGUAAAUAAAUAUAAAAUGUGUGGCUGUCAAAAAAAAAACCUUUCUCUGCUCUUUACAAUACCUACUAAUGGUGGUCUACUUUUUGUAGUCACAUUGAUACCUUUGGAGCUAGCUAAAUCAGGUGAAAAACGUACAACCAGUAGGGGAUACAAAGUUGACUUACGUGUGAAGAAUUGACUUGACUUGAAACCUGGCUGCUCAUUAUUAGGCUAGUCACAUAAUUCAGAACUGUCAGGAUUUGGAAUGUUACAGGGUUGUUCUUGACUAGGCAAAGACGGUUUUACACCCAACAGUGUGAGUCUACUUGCAUUGUGUCUGCAGGUCCUGGACCUUUCUAUACAACAGGUCUCCAGACAGGCAUAGAACUUGCUGUCAUAAGUAGAUGAAUUCCUCCUAUGUUCCUGCCCCAUGGAACCCAGUGGUGGGAUUACAGGCUUUGUUGCUGUUGUUGUUGACAUAUUCUAAAUAGAUGGGGUGAAUUUAGAGACUAUCCCUCAUCACUGGCCAUAGGUUAUUGGAUCCCUAUUAUCUGCAAGGCCAAUGUUGGAUUUAUGUGAUAUCAAAUCACCAGGUAAAAAAUUUUACAGAGCAAGAAAUAAUGAUUCAUGGCUGGAGAAAUGGCUCAGCAGUUAAGAGCACUGACUGCUCUUCGGAAGGUCCUGAGUUCAAAUCCCAGCAACCACCCGGUGGCUCACACGCAUCUGUAAUGAGGUCGGAUGCCCUCUUCUGGUCCAUCUGAAGACAGCUACAGUGUACUUAGAUAUAAUAAUAAAUAAAUCUUUUUUUAAAAGGAAGAAAUAAUGAUUCAAGGAUGAUGCCCAUCAUAGCUGGGAAAAUUUAUGAGAAAUUUUGGAUAACCCUCACAACACAGUGAGCUCUCUGUGAAUUAAAGUGCUACAGAAAAAUAGAACUUCAGACUAAAAAAAAAAAAUCAAUAUUUUGAGCAUUCAGCAUUUUAGACAAACAUGAGAAAAUAAAUUCCUACCAAGGUUUCUAAAUAUAUAUGCUUUUCCU